rnacentral:rRNA from 1 species
AGCGGCGAGCGAACGGGGAGCAGCCCAGAGCCUGAAUCAGUGUGUGUGUUAGUGGAAGCGUCUGGAAAGGCGCGCGAUACAGGGUGACAGCCCCGUACACAAAAAUGCACAUACUGUGAGCUCGAUGAGUAGGGCGGGACACGUGGUAUCCUGUCUGAAUAUGGGGGGACCAUCCUCCAAGGCUAAAUACUCCUGACUGACCGAUAGUGAACCAGUACCGUGAGGGAAAGGCGAAAAGAACCCCGGCGAGGGGAGUGAAAAAGAACCUGAAACCGUGUACGUACAAGCAGUGGGAGCCUCUUAAUGGGGUGACUGCGUACCUUUUGUAUAAUGGGUCAGCGACUUAUAUUCUGUAGCAAGGUUAACCGAAUAGGGGAGCCGAAGGGAAACCGAGUCUUAACUGGGCGUUAAGUUGCAGGGUAUAGACCCGAAACCCGGUGAUCUAGCCAUGGGCAGGUUGAAGGUUGGGUAACACUAACUGGAGGACCGAACCGACUAAUGUUGAAAAAUUAGCGGAUGACUUGUGGCUGGGGGUGAAAGGCCAAUCAAACCGGGAGAUAGCUGGUUCUCCCCGAAAGCUAUUUAGGUAGCGCCUCGUGAAUUCAUCUCCGGGGGUAGAGCACUGUUUCGGCAAGGGGGUCAUCCCGACUUACCAACCCGAUGCAAACUGCGAAUACCGGAGAAUGUUAUCACGGGAGACACACGGCGGGUGCUAACGUCCGU